CAAUAGCGUAUAUUAAAGUUGUUGCAGUUAAAAAGCUCGUAGUUGGAUUUCGGGGCAGCCUGGCUGGUCCGCCGCAAGGCGAGUACUGGUCAGCCGCCCUUCCUCUCGAAAGCCCCGACUGCUCUUCGUUGCAGUGGUCGGGUAGUUCGGGACGUUUACUUUGAAAAAAUUAGAGUGUUCAAGGCAGGCCUACGCCCGAAUACAUUAGCAUGGAAUAAUGGAAGAGGACCUCGGUCCUAUUUUGUUGGUUUCCAGGGCCGAAGUAAUGAUUAAGAGGGACAGUUGGGGGCAUUCGUAUUUAAUUGUCAGAGGUGAAAUUCUCGGAUUUAUGAAAGACGAACAACUGCGAAAGCAUUUGCCAAGGAUGUUUUCAUUAA
rnacentral:rRNA from 1 species